rnacentral:lncRNA from 1 species
UCAUUUGCAGAAAAUGAAUAGAUGAAAGUGACGUAAUCAGAAGAUUGCUCCAAGGAGCUAACACAUACCCUCCAGGUGUACACUCUAGACAUGUGCUGUAACCUAGAGGAGCAAAGGAAUGACAUCUGGCUUUCUAAACUUCAGGUACUUUAAUCUCUACACUGACAUCAAAAUAUACCAAGAUAAUUUUUUGGAUGGUGAUGGUAAUCAUCAUUAAGUAACAAACAACAGCUCUAAUUAGAAGCAAUUGUCAAUAAAUUUAACUUUGGUUUCUUCCAAGGUUCGCCGUCUCAGUACCGGACCCUGUACCGGUGCCACACUAGCACAGUGUCGGUAUGAAAUUUUUUUGACGUACCGAGUAUCAGUAUGCCACCUAUAUCGGAUACUGGUACAUAACCGGUACAGUACGGUAUGCCCCGUACUACCUGGUUCAGGUCAGUAUGGCAUACUUUAAUUUAUCCAGUCAAUCAGAUUGCUCAUCUUCAUAGAGACAACUUAAAGUUUAAAAUAUUUAGGUUUCUAACCUCUAAAGCAAAGCCUACUAACUAUAUCUGCAAAUACACAUGCAAUCUAAGGUGAAUAUUGGUCCUACUAAGAGCAAGGAAGAGACGUUCUGAACAACCAAAAAGAAAAAGGAUAGCUGAGUUUGUCACAAUAUGCAAAUUCAGCCAAGCAGUUAAACUGGACCACAACCAUAAUUAGAGAAACUUUAUCCUACAAAAGCCAUUGACCCCCUUUUC